GAACCUGCGGAGGGAUCAUUACAAGUGACCCCGGUCUAACCACCGGGAUGUUCAUAACCCUUUGUUGUCCGACUCUGUUGCCUCCGGGGCGACCCUGCCUUCGGGCGGGGGCUCCGGGUGGACACUUCAAACUCUUGCGUAACUUUGCAGUCUGAGUAAACUUAAUUAAUAAAUUAAAACUUUUAACAACGGAUCUCUUGGUUCUGGCAUCGAUGAAGAACGCAGCGAAAUGCGAUAAGUAAUGUGAAUUGCAGAAUUCAGUGAAUCAUCGAAUCUUUGAACGCACAUUGCGCCCCCUGGUAUUCCGGGGGGCAUGCCUGUUCGAGCGUCAUUUCACCACUCAAGCCUCGCUUGGUAUUGGGCAACGCGGUCCGCCGCGUGCCUCAAAUCGACCGGCUGGGUCUUCUGUCCCCUAAGCGUUGUGGAAACUAUUCGCUAAAGGGUGUUCGGGAGGCUACGCCGUAAAACAACCCCAUUUCUAAGGUUGACCUCGGAUCAGGUAGGGAUACCCGCUGAACUUAAGCAUAUCAAUA
rnacentral:rRNA from 1 species